rnacentral:rRNA from 1 species
AGCGAACGCUGGCGGCAGGCCUAACACAUGCAAGUCGAGCGGCCGUAGCAAUACGGCAGCGGCAGACGGGAGAGUAACACGUGGGAACGUGCCCAUCAGUUCGGAACAACCCAGGGAAACUUGGGCUAAUACCGGAUACGCCCUUACGGGGAAAGAUUUAUCGCUGAUGGAGCGGCCCGCGUCUGAUUAGCUAGUUGGUGAGGUAACGGCUAACCAAGGCGACGAUCAGUAGCUGGUCUGAGAGGAUGAUCAGCCUCACUGGGACUGAGACACGGCCCAGACUCCUACGGGAGGCAGCAGUGGGGAAUAUUGGACAAUGGGCGCAAGCCUGCUCCAGCCAUGCCGCGUGGAUGAUGAAGGCCCUAGGGUUGUAAAGUCCUUUCGGCGGGGAAGAUAAUGACGGUACCCGCAGAAGAAGCCCCGGCUAACUUCGUGCCAGCCGCCGCCGUAACAC